AAGAAACGCAAGGGGGGCAGCAGUGAACCCUCUCCCCCCUCCAAACCGCACCGCCUGCCCUCCUCCCCUCACUCCAAUUUCUACCCCUGGAAGGACAGUAAGGGGGGAACACUGCCUGGUGGGGUGGAGAAGAAAAUGGGCACACAGAAGCCAAAACUGCACCAUUAAGAGUGCCUGCCUUACAAGCUACUGAGGGAGUCAGCCCUGCCUGUGCUGUCAGACAUCAUGCCUCAGACUGUGGCUACAGGACUCAAGAGAUGUGUGUGAGUGUGACUUGAUAUUCAAGCCAAUGUUUGUGUGUGUGCAGGUGUAUGUCUUUUGACUCCUAUAUGAGUGUACAGGUAGGUGUGUGUGUGUGUGUGUGUGUGUGUGUGUGAGAGAGAAUGAGCGAGAGUGCUUACGACCAAUAAAGUAUGAGUUAUGUGUUCAGUUCCUGAGUCGGAUGUGAGUGUGUGUGAGUUUGCUGCUGUUGGUGAGUGUGUGCAGGACAAAGGGGACAUGUGAAUUUCUGUGUAUGAAUUUAGAAAUACCUCAAGACCUUCUGGUUAUGCUGCUAAAUAAAUACGUUGGUUUAUAAAAAUGGAUUAAAAAUAUCCUUUACACUUG